UUAUUAUCCUGAUGGCACACCAGUAUAUAACAUUGGAUUGCAGGGGUAUCUCCCAGAGUUGUUGUAUUCAUCGUCCAAAAGGAAUGUUUUCUCAGUUUUCAGCUUGCUUCUUAUAUUCAUAGCCUGCAAAAUCUACACUUAAAAGCUUCACCAUCCAUCAAUAAUGACACAGUAGAGGUAUACCGAGUAAUUGAUAGAAAUUCUUAUUCAUAGCACGAGGAGUCUUAUGGAGGAGAGCCCAUACAGAUCGCUUUCAGCUGUAUUGUAUAUUUACUUUCUAUCCCAUCAUCGAUUUGGUUCAUUGGAUAUGA
rnacentral:misc_RNA from 1 species